rnacentral:rRNA from 1 species
GGCUAACGCUGGCGGCGUGUCUUAGCCAUGCAAGUCGAGCGGACUUAUGGGGUAACUUAUAAGUCAGCGGCGGACGGCGGAGUAACACGUAGCUAACCUACCCUCUGGACGGGGAUAACCUACCGAAAGGUGGGCUAAUACCCGAUGUAGUCAUCCUGUAUAGGGGUGAUGAAAGGUGGGCUUCUGUUUACAAGCUCAUGCUGGAGGAGGGGGCUGCGGCCUAUCAGGUAGUUGGUAGGGUAAUAGCCUACCAAGCCGAUGACGGGUAGCCGGCCUGAGAGGGUGACCGGCCCGAGGGGCACUGAGAUACGGGUCCCACUCCUACGGGAGGCAGCAGGCUAGAAAUUUGGGCAAUGGGGGAAACCCUGACCCAGUGACGCCGCGUGCAGGAAGGAGCCCUUCGGGGUGUAAACUGCUGUCGUGUAGGGAGAAGGGUACUAAGGUGAACAAUCUUAGUACUUGACGGUACUACAGGAGGAAGCCCAGGCUAACCUCGUGCCAGCAGCCGCGGUAA